rnacentral:rRNA from 1 species
UACGUAGGGUGCAAGCGUUUAAUCGGAAUUACUGGGCGUAAAGCGUGCGCAGGCGGCUUUGCAAGACAGAUGUGAAAUCCCCGGGCUUAACCUGGGAACUGCAUUUGUGACUGCAUGGCUGGAGUGCGGCAGAGGGGGAUGGAAUUCCGGCGUGUAGCAGUGAAAUGCGUAGAUAUGCGGAGGAACACCGAUGGCGAAGGCAGUCCCCUGGGCCUGCACUGACGCUCAUGCACGAAAGCGUGGGGAGCAAACAGG